CCUACGGGUGGCAGCAGUGAGGAAUAUUGGUCAAUGGGCGAGAGCCUGAACCAGCCAAGUCGCGUGAGGGAGGACGGCCCUACGGGUUGUAAACCUCUUUUGCCGGGGGACAAACGGCGGCACGCGUGCCGUCCUGAGGGUCCCCGGAGACAAAGCAUCGGCUAACUCCGUGCCAGCAGCCGCGGUAAUACGGAGGAUGCGAGCGUUAUCCGGAUUUAUUGGGUUUAAGGGGUGCGUAGGCGGGAUGCAAAGUCCGCGGGUACAUACGGGGGCUCAACCUGCGUCCGCCGUUGAAACUGGCGUUCGUGAGUGGACGAGAAGUACGCGGAAUGCGUGGUGUAGCGGUGAAAUGCAUAGAUAUCACGCAGAACCCCGAUUGCGAAGGCAGCGUACCGGCGCCCGACUGACGCUGAAGCACGAAAGCGUGGGUAUCGAACAGGAUUAGAUACCCGGGUAGUC
rnacentral:rRNA from 1 species